rnacentral:lncRNA from 1 species
AUGAUUUUAGUUUAAUGGAAACAGUUACAGUACAGUGUCACAGCUAUGUCACAGCCGGCCGCGACCCGGGAGACCGAUGAAGCGGCGCACAAUUUGGCCCAGCAUUGUCCGGGUUAAGGGAGGGUUUGACCGGCUGCGAUUUCCUUGUCCCAUCGUGCUAUAGUGACUCCUUGUGGUGGGCAAGCUGACUUUGGAUGCCAGUUGUACGGUGUUUCCUCCUGACACAUCGGUGCAGCUGGCUUCCGGGUUAAGCGAGCAGUGUGUCAAAAAGCAGUAUGGCUUGGCAGUGUAGUUUUUCGGGGGACACAUUACUCCCGACCUUCGCCUCACCUGAGUUCGUACAGGAGUUGCAGCGAUGGGGGAAAAGACAAACCAAUUGGGGAGAAAAGGGGGUAAAUGCAAAACAACAAAAAACACAUUUCAUCUUCAGGCUGAGAGACAAUAGAUUGGGCAAGAGACAAUGGAUGUGUCGUGUCCAAGGUUGUGGACAUUGUAUGAAAGGAACAUCUCGCCUUGGAACAGGAAUCCCAUAUCCAACUGCAAGACGUCAGCAACAAAGUCUUCUAGAUAGUCAUGUGGCCAUGCUCCCUUCUUAGCAUCCGACUUGAUUUUACGGCGUCACUGUCCUUUGCCAUACCCCUGACGGCAGAGACCGACUCGGCUAAUCUCGCCCAUCCUCUCUUUUUGGUCUCUGCAGUGACCCCGGAGUUAUCAAGUCUCCCCAACAGCAACCUUUUCCUGGCUGCUAUUUCCUCCACCGUCACUUCAAGCUCUCGCUUGCUGAAGUUUGUAUUGCGCUUGCCUUUGUUAUCCAUUUUUGUUUUUGAUAUAGCUCGUCUGAUGGGUAUAAUGUGUAAAACACAACGUUUGUUUUUGUGUAUAAAGGCUUUGCGAGCCAACAGAAAGUAAUAUUCGAGACAUAAAGCAGAUAAAUAAAUGUAAUGAAAUGGAAAUGCUUUAUUAUAGUGGGCCAAAUUCUAUACUCCCUGUCAUAUAGGCUUAUUUAUUGGUUUCAAGCAUGUCACUAAUAUUUACAAAGUUCUUAGGAAUUAUAUUUUCAAAGUAGACAAACAGCUGUCUUACAAACUCAUCUUUUCCCCUGCUUGCAGCCUCAACCGUCCACCAAAGUCUGUUCUCCUGAGCUGCCCUGUGAUCUGCCAUUCCAAAAUACAGUGAGCAGUUACCUGCAAAUAAUUGUAUCAAUCCACACUGUCUUGUCUUUGGAUCUCUUAACCUGUCCCAGGUAGUAUAAUCAAGUCUACCCAACUGAUUUACAGAAUGAAAUAUUUUUGUUUGUUUUUGUAUUCUAUAUGUAACUCAUUGUUCUAUUUGUGAAGGAAAACACAACUGGACCAGUGGCACAGGAGUGGUUUAAAGAUGGGCUGGAAUGGUGGCCUCUUUAUAUAAAGACAGGAAUACAAUUAUUGACUGUCAAGAAAAGGUCAACUCCAAACCCCCACAAAAAGCUGUAAGCAGUUUGCUCUUCCAAACAGGUCAUUCCAAAAAGGCUCAGUGUACAGCCCUUCUGAUGUUUGGAUGUCCGGAUGAUGUUCUGAUAUUGUUAAUAUCACUACACAUACCCACUAGUUGGUGUCUGGCACUGAUAUCUUCAUUCAUGCUGAAUGGCGCCAUGUGUUUUAACAGGCUUCUAUUUACAGAAUCAUUGUAAAGCGGUAGGAUGUAAUUUGUAACAUCAGACCUUAACACUUCAGAAAAUUUAACAAGUGAGCACAUUGUUUGACUAUGAAUUUCUCCACAUUUUAAUUUGUUUCGUCUACAUUGCAGCAAGUGUUUUAAAAUGUGUGGGGUUUUUUUGCAUGAUGAAUGGUUUGCCAUAAGUAUUCAGCCUGCUUUCAAUUGCAAAGUGGUAAGCAAGUGUAAACAAGUUAAUGAAUUGCCUGACUGGGCUGAUGGGACAGUGGAUGUGCAGGGAUUUCUCAGAUCAGAAAACCAGUAGCCUGUCUACCCAUUGCUAUGCUUGUUUUGACCAACCCACUAUAAAUUCUAAUAAUGAUUCAUUUACAUAUUUAGACCCUCAUUGUCCUCAUCACCCCCGCUGUCCUCGGAGGAGGAAGAAUACCCACCCCCAUGUUCAUCUUCACCUCUGCCUCCACCAACCCCUUUUACAAAAUAUAGGCGCCCCUUACAGAGAUGGUUUAUAAAAGUUAACUCACCAGGCAUUCUACUACCAACUGACCACUUACUUACCCUAAAGUAAACUUAACCCUAACCAUUUGCAGUGUUGAUAGUUUGAGUAUCUAUACGGUUUAGAAUAUUUAGGGACUGGUCCAAAUACAGUGUGAUCAACAACAUGAAUGAAUGAAUGAUUGUUCACCUCAAGCCACAAGACCCAGUUGGAGACCAGAGAUGGAGACGAGCAGCGUCAGUCGGGCAUCAAGGGCCGACCUUUUCAGGAUGUAAGUGUCCCUUACAGAUGGUUUAUAAAAGUUAACUCACUAGGCCUUCCACUACCAACUGACUAACCACUUACUUACCAUAAAGUAAACUUAAUCGUAGAGUAUUUAGGGAUCUGUCCAAAUACAUUGUGAACAACAUGAUUAUUUUUAACAAUUAUUUUUGUUCUCCUUAAGCCACCACGCCCAUGUAUUUAACUAGGCAAGUCAGUUAAGAACACAUUCUUAUUUUCAGUGACUGCCUAGGAACAGUAGGUUAACUGCCUUGUUCAGGGGCAGAACGACAGAUUUUUACCUUGUCAGCUCAGGGAUUCAACCUUGCAACAUUUUGGUUACUAGUCCAACACUCUAGCCACUAGGCUACCUGCCGCCCCAUGAGGAAGCCUCUCUUGAAUGUAAGCUAUUUAAUGAAUAAAAUUCAAAAUAACAACAAUAAAUCUUUACUCCCUUUCUCACAAUGGUACUCACACCGGUCUCUCAACUGCUGCACUGGUAUAUUUGGCCUCAUCUUUCUAUUGAAAUCAGAAAAAUUCCAUUAGUACUAACACAAAGCAGUUAACGUUUUCAUCUAACAGCAGUUGAAAGGAUCGACCUUGAAAAGCUGGGUGGGCUUCAGCUCAAGGUGGCGCAUCUGACUAAACUUAUACAAGAAGUGCAACUGCAACAGCUCUACCGGGCCAAGAACCACAGAGGGAUGAGGAGGACAGGGAACCCAUACUGCGACAACUUACAUUGUAGGAGCUCUAUGACUUCAAAUGAGAGACUUGGACCUGCACAUUAAACAUUUUUUAAAUAUGUUCUCUAACCCUUUCAUGGGCUACAUAGAGGGAUUCACAACAACUGUGUUACAGUAGAAUUCUUAAUAACCUUUGUGUUCUAGCCCAUCAGUUGUUCCUUAUAUUUGAUCUACCGUCACAUGAGCUCACCCAGCAGCAGUUAAAGUGUGUAUAGUGUUGGAAUACAGCCAAUAGGAAUUGGCUACAGUGCCCUGGUGGAAUGGGUUAAGAAAG